rnacentral:rRNA from 1 species
GGGUUGUGAGGUUAAGCGACUAAGCGUACACGGUGGAUGCCCUGGCAGUCAGAGGCGAUGAAGGACGUGCUAAUCUGCGAUAAGCGUCGGUAAGGUGAUAUGAACCGUUAUAACCGGCGAUUUCCGAAUGGGGAAACCCAGUGUGUUUCGACACACUAUCAUUAACUGAAUCCAUAGGUUAAUGAGGCGAACCGGGGGAACUGAAACAUCUAAGUACCCCGAGGAAAAGAAAUCAACCGAGAUUCCCCCAGUAGCGGCGAGCGAACGGGGAGCAGCCCAGAGCCUGAAUCAGUGUGUGUGUUAGUGGAAGCGUCUGGAAAGGCGCGCGAUACAGGGUGACAGCCCCGUACACAAAAAUGCACAUGCUGUGAGCUCGAUGAGUAGGGCGGGACACGUGGUAUCCUGUCUGAAUAUGGGGGGACCAUCCUCCAAGGCUAAAUACUCCUGACUGACCGAUAGUGAACCAGUACCGUGAGGGAAAGGCGAAAAGAACCCCGGCGAGGGGAGUGAAAAAGAACCUGAAACCGUGUACGUACAAGCAGUGGGAGCACGCUUAGGCGUGUGACUGCGUACCUUUUGUAUAAUGGGUCAGCGACUUAUAUUCUGUAGCAAGGUUAACCGAAUAGGGGAGCCGAAGGGAAACCGAGUCUUAACUGGGCGUUAAGUUGCAGGGUAUAGACCCGAAACCCGGUGAUCUAGCCAUGGGCAGGUUGAAGGUUGGGUAACACUAACUGGAGGACCGAACCGACUAAUGUUGAAAAAUUAGCGGAUGACUUGUGGCUGGGGGUGAAAGGCCAAUCAAACCGGGAGAUAGCUGGUUCUCCCCGAAAGCUAUUUAGGUAGCGCCUCGUGAAUUCAUCUCCGGGGGUAGAGCACUGUUUCGGCAAGGGGGUCAUCCCGACUUACCAACCCGAUGCAAACUGCGAAUACCGGAGAAUGUUAUCACGGGAGACACACGGCGGGUGCUAACGUCCGUCGUGAAGAGGGAAACAACCCAGACCGCCAGCUAAGGUCCCAAAGUCAUGGUUAAGUGGGAAACGAUGUGGGAAGGCCCAGACAGCCAGGAUGUUGGCUUAGAAGCAGCCAUCAUUUAAAGAAAGCGUAAUAGCUCACUGGUCGAGUCGGCCUGCGCGGAAGAUGUAACGGGGCUAAACCAUGCACCGAAGCUGCGGCAGCGACGCUUAUGCGUUGUUGGGUAGGGGAGCGUUCUGUAAGCCUGUGAAGGUGUGCUGUGAGGCAUGCUGGAGGUAUCAGAAGUGCGAAUGCUGACAUAAGUAACGAUAAAGCGGGUGAAAAGCCCGCUCGCCGGAAGACCAAGGGUUCCUGUCCAACGUUAAUCGGGGCAGGGUGAGUCGACCCCUAAGGCGAGGCCGAAAGGCGUAGUCGAUGGGAAACAGGUUAAUAUUCCUGUACUUGGUGUUACUGCGAAGGGGGGACGGAGAAGGCUAUGUUGGCCGGGCGACGGUUGUCCCGGUUUAAGCGUGUAGGCUGGUUUUCCAGGCAAAUCCGGAAAAUCAAGGCUGAGGCGUGAUGACGAGGCACUACGGUGCUGAAGCAACAAAUGCCCUGCUUCCAGGAAAAGCCUCUAAGCAUCAGGUAACAUCAAAUCGUACCCCAAACCGACACAGGUGGUCAGGUAGAGAAUACCAAGGCGCUUGAGAGAACUCGGGUGAAGGAACUAGGCAAAAUGGUGCCGUAACUUCGGGAGAAGGCACGCUGAUAUGUAGGUGAAGUCCCUCGCGGAUGGAGCUGAAAUCAGUCGAAGAUACCAGCUGGCUGCAACUGUUUAUUAAAAACACAGCACUGUGCAAACACGAAAGUGGACGUAUACGGUGUGACGCCUGCCCGGUGCCGGAAGGUUAAUUGAUGGGGUCAGCGCAAGCGAAGCUCUUGAUCGAAGCCCCGGUAAACGGCGGCCGUAACUAUAACGGUCCUAAGGUAGCGAAAUUCCUUGUCGGGUAAGUUCCGACCUGCACGAAUGGCGUAAUGAUGGCCAGGCUGUCUCCACCCGAGACUCAGUGAAAUUGAACUCGCUGUGAAGAUGCAGUGUACCCGCGGCAAGACGGAAAGACCCCGUGAACCUUUACUAUAGCUUGACACUGAACAUUGAGCCUUGAUGUGUAGGAUAGGUGGGAGGCUUUGAAGUGUGGACGCCAGUCUGCAUGGAGCCGACCUUGAAAUACCACCCUUUAAUGUUUGAUGUUCUAACGUUGACCCGUAAUCCGGGUUGCGGACAGUGUCUGGUGGGUAGUUUGACUGGGGCGGUCUCCUCCUAAAGAGUAACGGAGGAGCACGAAGGUUGGCUAAUCCUGGUCGGACAUCAGGAGGUUAGUGCAAUGGCAUAAGCCAGCUUGACUGCGAGCGUGACGGCGCGAGCAGGUGCGAAAGCAGGUCAUAGUGAUCCGGUGGUUCUGAAUGGAAGGGCCAUCGCUCAACGGAUAAAAGGUACUCCGGGGAUAACAGGCUGAUACCGCCCAAGAGUUCAUAUCGACGGCGGUGUUUGGCACCUCGAUGUCGGCUCAUCACAUCCUGGGGCUGAAGUAGGUCCCAAGGGUAUGGCUGUUCGCCAUUUAAAGUGGUACGCGAGCUGGGUUUAGAACGUCGUGAGACAGUUCGGUCCCUAUCUGCCGUGGGCGCUGGAGAACUGAGGGGGGCUGCUCCUAGUACGAGAGGACCGGAGUGGACGCAUCACUGGUGUUCGGGUUGUCAUGCCAAUGGCACUGCCCGGUAGCUAAAUGCGGAAGAGAUAAGUGCUGAAAGCAUCUAAGCACGAAACUUGCCCCGAGAUGAGUUCUCCCUGACCCUUUAAGGGUCCUGAAGGAACGUUGAAGACGACGACGUUGAUAGGCCGGGUGUGUAAGCGCAGCGAUGCGUUGAGCUAACCGGUACUAAUGAACCGUGAGGCUUAACCUUACAACGCCGAAGCUGUU